rnacentral:rRNA from 1 species
UACGGAGGGUGCGAGCGUUGUCCGGAAUCACUGGGCGUAAAGGGCGCGUAGGUGGCCUGUGGAAGUCUGCGGUGAAAGCCCGGCGCUCAACGCCGGGUCGGCCGUGGAUACUCUCGGGCUCGAGCUUACUAGAGGCAGAUGGAAUUCCGGGUGUAGCGGUGGAAUGCGCAGAUAUCAGGAGGAACACCAAUGGCGAAGGCAGCUCGCUGGGACGGUACUGACGCUGAGACGCGAAAGCGUGGGGAGCAAACAGG